GACGAACGCUGGCGGCGUGCCUAAUACAUGCAAGUAGAACGCUGAAGGAGGAGCUUGCUUCUCUGGAUGAGUUGCGAACGGGUGAGUAACGCGUAGGUAACCUGCCUGGUAGCGGGGGAUAACUAUUGGAAACGAUAGCUAAUACCGCAUAAGAGUAGAUGUUGCAUGACAUUUGCUUAAAAGGUGCAAUUGCAUCACUACCAGAUGGACCUGCGUUGUAUUAGCUAGUUGGUGGGGUAACGGCUUACCAAGGCGACGAUACAUAGCCGACCUGAGAGGGGGAUCGGCCACACUGGGACUGAGACACGGCCCAGACUCCUACGGGAGGCAGCAGUAGGGAAUCUUCGGCAAUGGACGGAAGUCUGACCGAGCAACGCCGUGUGAGUGAAGAAGGUUUUCGGAUCGUAAAGCUCUGUUGUAAGAGAAGAACGAGUGUGAGAGUGGAAAGUUCACACUGUGACGGUAUCUUACCAGAAAGGGACGGCUAACUACGUG
rnacentral:rRNA from 1 species